UCCUGGCUCAGAUUGAACGCUGGCGGCAGGCCUAACACAUGCAAGUCGAGCGGAAACGAAGAGGUGCUUGCACCUCUGGCGUCGAGCGGCGGACGGGUGAGUAAUGCUUGGGAAUAUGCCUUAUGGUGGGGGACAACAGUUGGAAACGACUGCUAAUACCGCAUGAUGUCUACGGACCAAAGUGGGGGACCUUCGGGCCUCACGCCAUAAGAUUAGCCCAAGUGGGAUUAGCUAGUUGGUGAGGUAAUGGCUCACCAAGGCGACGAUCCCUAGCUGGUUUGAGAGGAUGAUCAGCCACACUGGGACUGAGACACGGCCCAGACUCCUACGGGAGGCAGCAGUGGGGAAUAUUGCACAAUGGGCGCAAGCCUGAUGCAGCCAUGCCGCGUGUGUGAAGAAGGCCUUCGGGUUGUAAAGCACUUUCAGUAAGGAGGAAAGGUUAAGUGUUAAUAGCACUUAGCUGUGACGUUACUUACAGAAGAAGCACCGGCUAACUCCGUGCCAGCAGCCGCGGUAAUACGGAGGGUG
rnacentral:rRNA from 2 species